UACGGGGGGAGCAAGCGUUGUUCGGAUUUACUGGGCGUAAAGGGCGCGUAGGCGGCCAGCACAAGUCAGUUGUGAAAUCUCCGAGCUUAACUCGGAAAGGUCAACUGAUACUGUGCGGCUAGAGUGCGGAAGGGGCAACUGGAAUUCUUGGUGUAGCGGUGAAAUGCGUAGAUAUCAGGAGGAACACCGGUGGCGAAGGCGGGUCUCUGGGCCGAAACUGACGCUGAGGAGCGAAAGCGUGGGGAGCGAACAGG
rnacentral:rRNA from 1 species